GUGGGAAGAGAUAAGCUAAGCCUGAGGGCAGAAGACCUUGAAUACUAAGCCAAGGAAUUUGUAUUUUACUUGUUGAAUUUUUACAAUGCUGCAUCAAGCCUGUACCAGAAGUCAGUACAUCCAAAUACAAAGGCAUGUGGACGGUAUGCAGAGAGUUCUCACCAACUGGGAAUAACACUCCAUUGCUGGAUUAAUUCAGUGGACACAUGAGAAUGAAGAAGGUCGGAGGGAAUCACCCUGUUGUCUGGAACAUAACCACUGAUGGGACUUUUCUUGCCUCCAGAGCUGUGAGAUGCUGAUGAAAUUCUGUUGCUCGAGCACCCAGUUUGUGAUAGUUUACCUGCACUGAAACUGAGAACAGAGAUGUUCCACUGGAACGACAGCACAGCAAGGGAGGCAGAGCCGGACGACGCUGCAGUUAGUGUGAGUCUUUCUGGAAUGAAAAUCCUCAUUGCUGUCUACAGAUCUUGUCCUCUUUUGGCUCCAGUUCUUCAUCACCUUGCGUGGAUCAACAACUCAGCUUCAAAUUGGUCAUCUCAGCUUCAGCAGCCACCGCUCCACCCACUGCUCUCACCCAGCCUGCCUCCCACUUAUGCCUCCAACAGCCCCAAGGCCACCCAUAUUCACCAGACUCUGCCUCCCGGUUUCACAGGUGAAAACCACGGUAGCAGGAUGCCCAAACUCCACUGAACUUUGAGUUUUGUCUAAUUUGUGCCAGUC